rnacentral:rRNA from 1 species
GUGGGGAAUUUUGGACAAUGGGGGAAACCCUGAUCCAGCCAUCCCGCGUGUGCGAUGAAGGCCUUCGGGUUGUAAAGCACUUUUGGCAGGGAAGAAACGGCGCUGAAUAAUACUUGGCGCAACUGACGGUACCUGCAGAAUAAGCACCGGCUAACUACGUGCCAGCAGCCGCGGUAAUACGUAGGGUGCAAGCGUUAAUCGGAAUUACUGGGCGUAAAGCGUGCGCAGGCGGUUCGGAAAGAAAGAUGUGAAAUCCCAGAGCUUAACUUUGGAAUGGCAUUUUUAACUACCGGGCUAGAGUAUGUCAGAGGGGGGUAGAAUUCCACGUGUAGCAGUGAAAUGCGUAGAGAUGUGGAGGAAUACCGAUGGCGAAGGCAGCCCCCUGGGAUAAUACUGACGCUCAUGCACGAAAGCGUGGGGAGCAAACAGGAUUAGAAACCCCAGUAGUCC